CAGAUUCUCCCUCCCCUUUUCUUUCCUCCAGUAAAAGUUCUGCUAGGACACAAAGAUUCACUCCUCUCCAAACUAGCUAAGAGCAUUAUACCUCCAACUCACUGUUUGAAUUCUUAGAGCUGUGGUACCCCUUGGUUUCGUACCUGGUGGCGUUUGCUAGCAUCUAAGAAGAUGUGGAGACUCUUGGUGAUCAUGAUGUUGGCGGGGAGGCUGCGAUGUAGUUAGGCUUCCUAGGUCCUUUAUUGCUCAUUGUUGAGCAUUUCUUCUUGUGUAAUGUUAUUUUGUAGUUUCUUGCUCUUUGAGCAAAUUUCCAGUUUAGUUUAGAUUCUUUUCAUGGCAUUAUGUUGUGUCUUUAGACUUCCAUUCCAGUAUAAUUUGGGAUAACUGUAAAAGGUUAAUUCUAAUAUACUUUAUGUCGGUGCUCUAUUUUAUACUAUAAACAU